rnacentral:sRNA from 1 species
GCUGGGAGUGAUGGCACAUGCCUGUAAUCCUAGCAGCUCUGGAGGCUGAGGCAGGAGGAUUGCAAGUUCAAAGCCAGCCUCAGUAACUUAGCGAAAUCCUAUCUCAA